rnacentral:rRNA from 1 species
ACGUAGGGGGCAAGCGUUGUCCGGAUUUAUUGGGCGUAAAGAGCGUGUAGGCGGCUUGGCAAGUCCGCUGUGAAAACUCGAGGCUCAACCUCGAGCUGUCGGUGGAAACUGCCUGGCUAGAGUCCGGAAGAGGAGUGUGGAAUUCCUGGUGUAGCGGUGAAAUGCGCAGAUAUCAGGAGGAACACCGAUGGCGAAGGCAGGUCUCUGGGCAUUAACUGACGCUGAGGAGCGAAAGCAUGGGGAGCGAACAGGA